rnacentral:rRNA from 1 species
GGGUUGUGAGGUUAAGCGACUAAGCGUACACGGUGGAUGCCCUGGCAGUCAGAGGCGAUGAAGGGCGUGCUAAUCUGCGAUAAGCGCCGGUAAGGUGAUAUGAACCGUUAUAACCGGCGAUACCCGAAUGGGGAAACCCAGUGUGACUCGUCACACUAUCAUUAACUGAAUCCAUAGGUUAAUGAGGCGAACCGGGGGAACUGAAACAUCUAAGUACCCCGAGGAAAAGAAAUCAACCGAGAUUCCCCCAGUAGCGGCGAGCGAACGGGGAGGAGCCCAGAGCCUGAAUCAGCAUGUGUGUUAGUGGAAGCGUCUGGAAAGGCGCGCGAUACAGGGUGACAGCCCCGUACACAAAAGCGCAUGUGCUGUGAGGUCGAUGAGUAGGGCGGGACACGUGGUAUCCUGUCUGAAUAUGGGGGGACCAUCCUCCAAGGCUAAAUACUCCUGACUGACCGAUAGUGAACCAGUACCGUGAGGGAAAGGCGAAAAGAACCCCGGCGAGGGGAGUGAAAAAGAACCUGAAACCGUGUACGUACAAGCAGUGGGAGCCCCACCACCAAAGCAUUCUCUGGUGUUGAAGGCCCUGCAAAGCAGCAUCGCGGUGGCGGAGCGUCGUUUGCGACGCCCAACACACAAAACAAGCGGUGAAUGCUUUG